rnacentral:rRNA from 1 species
GACGAACGCUGGCGGCGUGCUUAACACAUGCAAGUGGAGCGACGAACCAGGCUUCGGCCUGGGGCAGAGCCGCGAACGGGUGAGUAACACGUGGGUAACGUGCCCCGAUGACCGGGACAACCCGGGGAAACCCGGGCUAAUACCGGAUGUGCUGUCCCAACACCAGUUGGGAUUGGAAAGGAAGCUUCGGCCUCCGCAUCGGGAUCGGCCCGCGGCCCAUUAGCUUGUUGGUGGGGUAAUGGCCUACCAAGGCUUCGACGGGUAGCCGGCCUGAGAGGGUGACCGGCCACACUGGGACUGAGACACGGCCCAGACUCCUACGGGAGGCAGCAGUAAGGAAUAUUGGUCAAUGGACGCAAGUCUGAACCAGCCAUGCCGCGUGAAGGAUGAAGGUCCUCUGGAUUGUAAACUUCUUUUAUCUGGGACGAAACCCGGGGAAUUCUUUCCCGAUUGACGGUACCAGAGGAAUAAGCACCGGCUAACUCCGUGCCAGCAGCCGCAGU